UGCAUUCUAGGUAAGGAUGAUUUGGACCAGGUUGUACUUUGUUCCCAAAGAAUUCAAGGAAAACUUUGUUUGUUUGUUUAAUCUGCUUAACAUAGUAAAAUCUUUCUUUGCAAUAUCAUACAAAGUUGGCAUUACAUAUGCACUGUUGAAGAAAACAUAGUUAAUUUUUUUUUAAAGAAUGUACUCCAAAACCAUUUAAUUAGUAAAAAUGUUUAAUAAUGAUUUUUUUUUUUUUUUUUUUUGAGACGGAGUCUUGCUCUGUUGCCCAGGCUGGAGUGCAGUGGCCUGAUCUCUGCUUACUGCAAGCUCCACCUCCCAGGUUCAUGCCAUUCUCCUGCCUCAGCCUCCAGAGUAGCUGGGACUACAGGUGCCCACCACAACACCCGGAUAAUUUUUUGUAUUUUUAGUAGAGACAGGGUUUCACCGUGUGAGCCAGGAUGGUCUCAAUCUCCUGACCUCAUGAUCCACCUGCCUUGGCCUCCCAAAGUGCUGGGAUUACAGGCAUGAGCCACUGUUCCUGGCCCUUUGAGUACAUUUUCUAAGAAGUUGGUCAUGAGUUCAGAUGUCUGCCUCAAAGAGAUACUUGUGGUUUCCAUUAAAGAACCCACCUUCCCUUUCUACAGGAGUAUUUAUGGGAGAUAUGGGCCUGGAGGUUGGAAUCUAUCCUGGUUGUACUUUGCUCUACUGAAGUAAGGAGUAAACCUACAAAUACAUUCAUAUUGAAGUGUACAAAGGGGGCUCUACAAUAGGUAGGAAUUCUAUUUAGUUUUGUUGGGUAACAAAUCCUUUGAGAAGCAAAUAAUAGCUCACCUACAAAACUGGUGAUCUGUAUAAGUUGGGAUUUUUCAUGGAUCAGUUUUGCUUGGAUUGAACUAUAUAAUCACAAAUAUAUUUAUACCUAGAGAGACAGAAAGAGUGUCUGUUGAAACUGUAUCAUCUUAACGUGUCUAUAAAAGGCAAUACCUGGAAGGUGGUGGAUGCCACACAGGUUAAGCUGUCUUCCCUCUGGGAGGCAGGCUUCUGGGAACUACACAGGCAUAGAUGGUGUGGUUUUGCAGGAGUUUGGUUAGGUAACCUAGAAAAUAUUCAGUCGGGUUACAAGAGGCCCAGGAACCCACCAUUCCUCCUUGGGUUUGGGGACAGGAGGACGUUGGUUCCCCUGGGGAAGGACUGUUGAGUUAACAACAUGUGGGGUAGGGCCUCCCUAGCAGCUCUGGUGCAGAGGUCACAAAACCAGGCCCAGAGGUGGGGCACAGGAGCCAAUGUCAGCUUUCAUGUUGAUAUGGAAAGGGGGCAGGGGAGUGCUGGGUAGAGAAGGGUGGGGACCCUAGCGAGGGCUCUGCCCUCGGGCUUGUGCCCUUGGACCUUAGUGAGAACAGGCACUCCUGUUUUCAUGUCCAAAUGUUGCAUUUUCCAAGACUACUCUGGCCUGCUGUGAGCCCCAUUCUGUGUCCAUAAAAAACCCAAGACCCUAGUGGGCACAGACACAAGUGGCUGGACGUCGAGAGGAGCAGAGAAGCAGAAGAGCACACCGACAGACAUCAGCAGAUGCUGGCAGGCUUUUGACAGUGGGGAGAUGUGGAAUUCAGUUGGGGGUGGUCGGUGGAGAGUCUGGCUACUGUUUCAAUGUCUGGGUCAGAAACCUUGGUCUGGGAUGGCCCACUGAAUGGUUUGGAGAGCUCUUUCCUCUUCAGGAAGCACUAAGGUAUUGGCCAGGAGCCAAGAAGUCCUGAAGCACCUUUAUAAACCAGGAAAAAAAAAUUGGGGUGAGUAUCCCCUGGACGUGUGGAUGCCCAUCCUGAGGGAGGCUUUCAUUUGCUCAUCUCCCACUAGUGAGGCCAUGUCUUAUUGGGAUGAGAGGGUGCAGUUUCAUUUCAAGAAAUCACUCGUGGCUCUGUCUUGGUGCUGGAGAGGAAAGACAGGCAGGGUGCCCUGUGCAGAGAGGUGAUGGUGGGGCUCUGCUGUGGGUUGAAUGGUGUCCUUUCAAAUUCACAUUCAUCAAUGUGGGGAAAAGAAAGAGAGAUCAGAUUGUUACUGUGUCUGUGUAGAAAGUAGAAAUAAGAGACUCCGUUUAGUUCUGUACUAAGAAAAAUUCUUCUGCCUUGAAAUGCUGUUAAUCUGUAACCCUACCCCCAACCCUGUGCUCCCUGAGACAUGUGCUGUGUCAACUCAGGGUUAAAUGGAUUAAGGGCUGUGCAGGGUGUGCUUUGUUAAACAAAUGCUUGAAGGCAGCAGCUUGUUCAGAGUCAUCACCACUCCCUACUCUCAAGUACCCAGAGACACAAAACUGCUGAAGGCUGCAGGAACCUCUGCCUAGGAAAGCCGGGUAUUGUCCAAGAUUUCUCCCCAUGUGAUAGCCUGAGAUAUGGCCUCCUGGGAAGGGAAAGACCUGACUGUCCCCCAGCCCGACACCCGUAAACGGUCUGUGCUGAGGAUUAGUGAAAGAGGAAGGCCUCUUUGCAGUUGAGAUAAGAGGAAGGCAUCUGUCUCCUGCUUGUCCCUGGGCAAUGGAAUGUCUCGGUGUCAAGCCCGAUUGUAUAUUCCAUCUACUGAGAUAAGGGAAAACCACCUUAGGGCUGGAGGUGGGACAUGCUGGCAGCAAUACUGCUCUUUAAUGGAUUAAGAUGUUUAUGUGUAUGCACAUCAAAAGCACAGCACUUAAUUCUUUACCUUGUUUAUGAUGCAGAGUCCUUUGUUCACGUGUUUUCCUACUGACCUUCUCUCCACUAUUACCCUAUUGUCCUGCCAAGUCCCCCUCUCUGGGAAACAUCCGAUAAUGAUCAAGAAAUACUAAGGGAACUCAGAGGCUGGUGCUGGCACAGGUCCUCCGUAUGCUGAACGGUGGUCCCCUGGGCCCUAUUUUCUUUCUGUAUACUUUGUCUCUGUGUCUCUUUCUUUUCCAAGUCUCUCGUUCCACCUGACGAAAAAUGCCCACAGGUGUGGAGUGGCAACCCACCCCUUCAAUCAGGAACCUCAGAAUGUGACAUUUGGAAAUAGCGUGGUUGCAGAUGUAACGAAUUAACUUGGCGACAUACUGGAGUAAGGUGGGCCCUUAACACCCUAUGACUGGAAUCCUUAUAAGAAGAAAAGAAGAGACACAGAGGGAAGACAGCUGCGUGCAGCUGGAAUGAUGCACCUGAAGCCAAGGGAUGCUGCGCAUUGCCAGCCACCACCCAAAACUGGAAAAGGCCAGGAAGGAUUCUUCCCUAGAACCUUCAAAGGCAGCACAGCCCUGCCAACAACUGCAUUCAGACUCUGGCCUCCAGAACUGUGAGAGGAUGAAUUUCUGUCGUUUUCAGCCACCCAAGCUUAGGAAAUGGGUUGCAGCAGACUCGGAAUAAGACAGGCAGCCAGUCAGCCUCCGUGGAAUUCCCAGGCAGCUUGCAGGAGCCACAGUGGGCCCUGGGCUCUGAGAAGGUCUGAGGCCCAGCAGGCGCAGGGGCCUAAACUAUUUCUCUGCAAGGAGGAAGGAAGGUUCAUCCAGAACGUAGAUCCCCUUCCUCCUUCUCACACCUCACAAGGUCACAGCGAGGUGGCUGGGAGGACAGCCAGGGACUUUUCACUGAGAUGUGUGGGAGACAGCUUGGUAGCCCUUGGCCUCUGAAGGGAGGAGGUGGCAUGAAGAAGGGCAGCUUCUGAAAUUCCCAGUUCCUGCUUGAUGACCUGUGUGUAAAGUAUUCCUGUUUAGGUCUCAAAAUCCUCUCAGAAAUAUAAUUCUCAGAAAAUCCAGGCACCCAAUCCAGCUCCCUGGCCUUCCUGAAAUCUGAAGUCAAAGGGGCUGAGCCAGCCUGCCCUGGGUGUCAGGCCUCUGAGCCCAAGCUAAGCCAUCAUAUCCCCUGUGACCCGCACAUACACAUCCAGAUGGCUGGUUCCUGCCUUAAGUGAUGACAUUCCACCACAAAAGAAGUGAAAAUGGCCUGUUCCUGCCUUAACUGAUGACAUUGUCUUGUGAAAUUCCUUCUCCUGGCUCAUCCUGGCUCAAAACCUCCCCCACUGAGUACCUUGUGACCCCCACUCUGCCCACCAGAGAACAACUCCCCCUUUGACUGUAAUUUUCCUUUACCUACCCAAAUCCUAUAAAACAGCCCCACCCCAUCUCCCUUCACUGACUCUCUUUUCAGACUCAGCCCCCCUGCACCCAGGUGAAAUAAACAGCCAUGUUGCUCACAUAAAGCCUGUUUGGUGGUCUCUUCACACGGAUGCGCAUGAAAUUUGGUGCAGUGACUGGGAUCGGGGGACCUCCCUUGGGAGAUCAAUCCCAUGUCCUCCAGUUCUUUGCUCUGUGAAAAAGAUCCACCUACAACCUCAGGUCCUCAGACCCACCAGCUCAAGGAACAUCUCACCAAUUUUAAAUUGGGCAAGCAGCCUCUUCUUACUCUCUUCUCCAACCUCUCUCACUGUCCCUCAACCACUUUCUCCUUUCCACUCUUCAAUCUCUCCCUUCUCUUAAUUUCAAUUCCUUUCAUUUUCUGGUAGAGACAAAGGAGACACAUUUUAUCUGUGGACCCAAAACUCCAGUGCAGGUCACGGACUGGGAAGGCAGCCUUCCCUUGGUGUUUAAUCAUUGCAGGGAAGCCUCUCUGAUUAUUCACCCACGUUUCAAAGGUGUCAGACCAUGCAGGGACACCUGCCUUGGUCCUUCACCCUUAGCGGCAAGUCCUGCUUUUCUGUGGGAGGGGAAAGUACCCCAACCACUUUUCUCCAUGUCUCUACCCCUUCUCCACCUUUCUGGGGGACAAGAAACCCCCAACCCCUUUUCCUUCACCCUUAGUGGCAAGACCCACUUUUCUUGGGGAGGGGCAAGUACCACAUCUUAUCUCUGCACCCGAAUCCCU
rnacentral:lncRNA from 1 species